ensembl:lncRNA
UUAAAGUGUUGUCUUUAAACUUCAGAAUUCCUUAUUUUAAACUCAGAUUUCAAACCUAAAUCUCACAACUCCAAUCAUGUUUUCAUUCUGGCUUAAACUGAACUGUGGAUGGAGCCACUUGUUCCACAUUUCAGACUUCAGAGUUUAAACUCCUUUUCUGUAAAUAAGCGUAUUGUGUGCAUCGGCACAGGGAGCUCAAACUCUUCUGCGGAGCGUUCCUUCAUGAUAACAUCACACUGCUUCGCUACCAAGAGAAUGUUGCAAACAAAGAAGCUCGGCAGACACGCUGAGUGAUGUGUUUGUUUGUGAGUGGGACGCACAUCCCUAACUGUAGGUUUCUCAAUAUGUCCACAACACCAGAAUUAGUUUUACAGAAAACAUUGACAUUUUUUCAUUUGCAUUUUUAACACAUUUGCAAUAAACCUAUUGUCUAUAUAGCUACACUCAAUUAUGAUUGAGAAUAUACAAACUGCCUGUUGUCCUCUCACAAUAGAAAUAGUUUCUGAUAAGGAGGAAGGUGGUACCCUGUUGGACAACUAUGAGUUCAGGUGUGGCUUUGCAUAAAAGGAGCAGCAGGUGUCAGCUGUGUUUGUGGAUCUGCUGUCCAGCACGCAAGACAUUCAGCUGCCUGCCGGAGGUCUUUGAAGAUGUCUGGACGAGGGGGGCACUGUAAUCGAGGAGGCCGUGGAGGUGGGCGUGGACACGGACACGGACAUGGACAUGGACAUGGGCAUGGACAUGGACAUGAACAUGAACAUGGGGAAUGUCAUGGACAUGGUCAUGGGCAUGAACAUGAACAUGGACAAUGUCAUGGGCAAUGUCAUGGACAUGGCCAUGGUCAUGGGCACGGGCACGGGCAUGGACAUGGACAUGGACAAGGAAAAUGCCCAAAGUGCAGGCGCAGGCACAGGGGAGGUCACAAGCAUCUCAAGUGUCACAAGAAGGGGAAGGACUCUCAUGGGUCCUCCAGCAGCUCCUGCAGCAGCGACUCGGAUUAGAUGACGCUGAAGAAAGACAAUUACAGGCUGUAAACUUGGAAAAUGUCAUCCUGUCGAUCCUCACAAUAUUCAGUAAUAAACUGUAAAACACUCUAAAACAAAUGUUGAGUUAUUUAAACACUACACAGGUUGCUGUUUAUUGUUGAACCUGUUAAAGGUUCAGCUGUCACAUAUUAUGAAGUGUUGAACCAAUACAGUUGAAUUCUCUUCACAGUAGUCAGUGUGCGACAAAUUGUCUACUAGACAGUGAUCACAUUACUCCCUUGUAAUAAACAGCAUGAAACUGCUUUCUGUUUAUCUCAACAACAAGUAACCCAAUAACUAAAGCGCCUCUGUCUUUUUUAUUUCAUUUGACCUUGUAGUUUAACGUUACCCUGUUUGUGUGUUACCACUCAGUGUGUAUUCAUAUUAUCUGUAUUUACCCAGGGAGCGUUGAAUGAACAAGAGCUUUGUCCAGCAGGGCUUUUCCCCAACGAUAAACAACACACCCUGCCGCUCCGCAGAACAUUCACACCUCUCCUCCUUAAACGCCGUGGAUCCCUCAUUUACGCUGUUCUUGUUCUUUUAAUAGCACCAUCUGAAGCAAAACAAUAAACCAGAGAAUCCUUUCUAAGUACAUUAGAAAUGGGAAGGUGAGCCGAGUAAACUGCCCUUAUGAAAUGUUACGAGUUCUCGUUGGGCGAGCGACUGCUGCACUGCCUUCUACCGACCCAGACCUGUCAACAAACCGCUCCUCCGGUCCAGCCCCGGUCAGUGGAGUUCUGUGUUUACAUAUAUGUCUGAUAUUCAUCAUACUGUGUAUACCGUGUAUGUACCUGGUCAAAGGUCUCACUAUCAACUGUGGAAACCCAUUCCACCUAAGAGCCUGUUCCUUUUAAUUCCUGCAUCAAAUGUCAAGCUCCUUCUCUACUUGAUGACUUUGUCCCAGGUCACGUGUCAACACACGGUCCUCAAUGACCCUCGCUUUGCCAAUCAGUCCUCUCAGUUGAAGGGACUACGGUAAACAUUGUUGUCAUAUGGACGACUACAACAACAUCGCGAUUGUUUUUCCUGGGUGUGUGUACCGACUUUUUGAUGUAUACAGUUUAGAUGUAUGUUGAAGACACACACACACACACACACACACACACACACACCCAUUUAGGUAACCAAGCAAAAAUGUUCUAAUGGGAGUUCAGGCCCCGCCCCUGGUGGUACGAAGUGCACUGCACAUAAAAAGGAGCAUCAGAACACGGCUCUCCAGCACACAGUAAGUUCACCUCUUAAACUGCUGAGGAUUUGCAGCUCUCAGGUUCUGGAGUGUGUGUUAAAAACACAAACUGUGCUUCCUCUUUUUCUUGCAGGAUCUGAAGUUUCAUCCAAGGUUUAAAAAUGUACGGAUACAACCAAGGUAAAUAACACAAACAAUUUUUAAAUGGCUGAAUAUGCUUUACCGACUUGAGAAUCACCUUUGCCGACUUUGAACCGUAUGUCAUAUCCUUGUGUUUAGGAAACCAGUACCCUCCUGGUUACCCCAACAACCCUCAGCAGAUGCCUGGGGGAUACCCUCAACAUCCUCCAGGUACCGCACCGAUGAACUACCCCCCUCGGCCUCACGGCCCGUACGGAGGCCAACACGGACCUGGACCUGGUUACGGUCCCAACCAAGGACAUGGACCUGGUUACGGACCCAACCAAGGACAUGGACCUGGUUACGGUCCCAACCAAGGACAUGGACCUGGUUACGGACCCAACCAAGGACAUGGACCUGGUUACGGUCCCAACCAAGGACAUGGACCUGGUUAUGGUCCCAGCCAAGAACAUGGACAGGGCCACGGACAUGGACAUGGACAUGGACAGGGUCACGGACAGUGCCAAGGACAUGGACAUGGACAUGGACAUGGACAGGGUCACGGACAGUGCCAAGGACAUGGACAUGGACAUGGACAGGGUCAUGGACAGGGCCACGGACACAAGCACAAGCACAAGGACGGUCACAAGCACGGCCAGUGUCACAAGAAAGGAAAGGACUGUCGUGGGGCGUCCAGCAGCUCCUGCAGCAGCGACUCUGACUAGAGGCCGACGGCUGCAUAGGAGGAGGAACAAGACAAGAGAACAAAGAGAUCAACAUGUCACUGCCUAAAUGUUUUUUCACCUACAAUCAUUAAAACAUUAUUCUUGUAUCAAUUUAAUCAAAGUCUAUGACUUUAACGAGCAUCCACUAUCCAAAAUUACUGGAUGUUGCAUCAUGUUUGAAAGUCAUACCAGGUCACCCAUAGCAUGAUUAUUAUUAACAUGUCAGAAUUUCAAUUUAAGAGAUAUCUUGCUGACAUUAUUAUAUCUAUGAUUGUGUUCUUUAGAAAAUUAAAUAAAAGUACUCUCUGACGACGAUAAACUGUAUUUCCAUUUUA